rnacentral:rRNA from 1 species
CCUGAGAAACGGCUACCACAUCCAAGGAAGGCAGCAGGCGCGCAAAUUACCCACUCCCGGCACGGGGAGGUAGUGACGAAAAAUAACGAUACGGGACUCAUCCGAGGCCCCGUAAUCGGAAUGAGUACACUCUAAACCCUUUAACGAGGAUCAAUUGGAGGGCAAGUCUGGUGCCAGCAGCCGCGGUAAUUCCAGCUCCAAUAGCGUAUAUUAAAGUUGUUGCGGUUAAAAAGCUCGUAGUCGAAUUUGUGUCCCGCGCCGCCGGUUCAUCGUCCGCGGUGUUAACUGGCGUGCCGCGGUACGUCCUGCCGGUGGGCUUAGCUCUUCGGGGCGGCCCAACUCAAUCCCGCCGCGGUGCUCUUCACUGAGUGUCGAGGUGGGCCGGCACGUUUACUUUGAACAAAUUAGAGUGCUUAAAGCAGGCUAAAACUUCGCCUGAAUACUGUGUGCAUGGAAUAAUGGAAUAGGACCUCGGUUCUAUUUUGUUGGUUUUCGGAACCCCGAGGUAAUGAUUAAUAGGAACGGAUGGGGGCAUUCGUAUUGCGACGUUACAGGUGAAAUUCUUGGACCGUCGCAAGACGGACAGAAGCGAAAGCAUUUGCCAAAAACGCUUUCAUUGAUCAAGAACGAAAGUUAGAGGUUCGAAGGCGAUCAGAUACCGCCCUAGUUCUAACCAUAAACGAUGCCAGCUAGCGAUCCGCCGACGUUCCUCCGAUGACUCGGCGGGCAGCUUCCGGGAAACCAAAGCUUUUGGGUUCCGGGGGAAGUAUGGUUGCAAAGCUGAAACUUAAAGGAAUUGACGGAAGGGCACCACCAGGAGUGGAGCCUGCGGCUUAAUUUGACUCAACACGGGAAAUCUCACCAGGCCCGGACACCGGAAGGAUUGACAGAUUGAGAGCUCUUUCUUGAUUCGGUGGGUGGUGGUGCAUGGCCGUUCUUAGUUG